AUUGAACGCUGGCGGCAGGCCUAACACAUGCAAGUCGAACGAGUGGCGGACGGGUGAGUAAUGUCUGGGAAACUGCCUGAUGGAGGGGGAUAACUCCUGGAAACGGUAGCUAAUACCGCAUACCAUCGGAUGUGCCCAGUUGGGAUUAGCUAGAAGGUGGGGUAACGGCUCACAUCGGCGACGAUCCCUAGCUGGUCUGAGAGGAUGACAAGCCAAACUGGAACGGAGACACGGGCCAGACUCCUACGGGAGGCAGCAGUGGGGAAUAUUGGACAAUGGGCGAAAGCCUGAUCCAGCCAUGCUGCGUGUGUGAAGAAGGUCUUCGGAUUGUAAAGUACUUUCAGCGGGGAGGCGUUACCCGCAGAAGAAGCACCGGCUAACUCCGUGCCAGCCGCCGCGGUAAUUC
rnacentral:rRNA from 1 species